rnacentral:rRNA from 1 species
AGUGAACGCUGGCGGUAGGCCUAACACAUGCAAGUCGAACGGCAGCACAGUAAGAGCUUGCUCUUACGGGUGGCGAGUGGCGGACGGGUGAGGAAUACAUCGGCAUCUACUUUUACGUGGGGGAUAACGUGGGGAAACUUACGCUAAUACCGCAUACGACCAACGGGUGAAAGCAGGAGUUCUUCGGACUUUGCGCGUCUGAUUGAGCCGAUGUCGGAUUAGCUAGUUGGUAAGGUAAAGGCCCACCAAGGCAACGAUCCGUAGCCGACCUGAGAGGAUGAUCGGCCACACUGGAACUGAGACACGGUCCAGACUCCUACGGGAGGCAGCAGUAGGGAAUCUUCCGCAAUGGGCGAAAGCCUGACGGAGCAACGCCGCGUGAGUGAUGAAGGUCUUCGGAUCGUAAAACUCUGUUAUUAGGGAAGAAAAAAUGUGUAAGUAACUAUGCACGUCUUGACGGUACCUAAUCAGAAAGCCCCGGCUAACUACGUG